rnacentral:tRNA from 1 species
UCCGGGGUAGCUCAGCGGCAGAGCAAUCGACUGUUAAUCGAUCGGCCGCAGGUUCGAAUCCUGCCCCCGGAG